rnacentral:rRNA from 1 species
CAAGCCGGCCAUAGGACCGUGGAUCCACCCGUACCCAUUCCGAACACGGAAGUUAAACACGGUCGCGGUCAGGGUGGUAGUGUAUUCCUUUUGGAUACGCGAAGCCCUGAUGGCUGGCUACU